rnacentral:lncRNA from 1 species
CUAGGGGAGGUGCUUCUGUGGACAAACGACAAUGUGUGCCCUGCAAUGAGUGUUCUAAGUCGCACCCCCUUUAUUCUUAUUGCCCUUACACCCCUUGUGAUAUUUGUGACAAGGUUCACGACUCUGAGUGUUGCCCUUACUUCGACCAUCUCCCACAAGGGGCAACUUUUCCCCCUGGAUAUGAAAUAGUUUGUCGAUGCGGUAAUUUAUUUAAUGAGGAUAAGUGGGCUUGUAGCUCUUGUAGUGGGAGCAUUCCAGUGCUUGCGGCCAAGUAUUGUUCCAUUUGUAAUGUCUAUUAUCAGCACAGUGUAUAUGAAUGCCCAGUGGACAAGGAACGUGCUGCCAAGUAUAAAUUGGUCAGAGCCGAGAUGCUUUCACGUGUGCCGAUUCCCCAUCGUCCUGUCUAUCCAGAAUCAUCAUGAGGAAUUCCCUAUGUUCCAAUUACUCCUUCCUCGUCGGUUUGUGGAGACAUGAAAGAAGGCAAGGACAUGAACAUAGGCACACCUUGUUGGAAGCCUACUGUGAUUGCACCAGAAGAGGAUUCAGUGAAUGUAACUUUAUGAGUUUAAUGUGAUUGAACAUAAACACGCCUGGAGAACUUUUUAAUAGCUCAAGUGUUUUAAUGUGAAUGGUAUGUGCCUAUGUGUGAUUUACUUUCUUGUUUUUGUUUAAUGUGUGAUGUAGUUUGGUGCUAUAAUGCUCUUCUUUCUUUUGAUAUUGCUUUUCUUUACAUUUGUUGACGAUGUUAAUGGGUAAAAUUCUGUUGGGUUAGUAGUUGUAUAUUGAAACAAAUAUGUCUUCUGGACAAGUAGGUUAGGCAGAAAGAGUCCCUAUUGUAUGUUGAUAUGAGAGAUAAUAUGGGCAAUUGGCUAUUUUGUACCAGGGAAGUUAGUACUCCGGAGGUUAUGGUUUCCAGAAGCCUUGAUUGGCUUGCCAUUAAUUAUGUGUAUUGAGUUGGGGAGCUUUUGCCCUUAUUAUCUCUGCUAAUGGACACCUUCUUCAUUUCCUAGUCUAGAACUUAUUAAGGGUCAAGUUCCUCCUUUUGUUUUGGGUGUUGGUUUAAAUCAUUUCUCAUGGGGAGGUCAAUACUUAUGACGUGGUUAAGAGGAGAAGACUGGCUGCUAUAUGGUGCAUUUUCUGCAAAGAAGGCCGAGAAGAAUGUGAAUCAUCUGUGUUUGUGCUCUUCCGUUGUCUUAGAUCUUUGGGAUGUUCUAAUGUGAUCUGAUUCAUUCCAGCUGAUUGUUGUCUUAGCUCUUUGGGAUGUUCUAAUGUGUUCUGAUUCAUUCCAGCUGAUUGUUUGACUUCACUGUGUGAAAGCUUCAAUUUAUUUUUAGGAGGUAGAAAGUAGUUCCUUCUGGUAAGAUGUGCUAUAAAUGGCUGUGUUUUAGGUUACCUGGUUGUACGAACAAUUCAGUUUUUUUUUUUGGUUGUUGGAACAUGACUAGGGGUAGGGAGAAGGGUGGUUAUAUGCAGUCGGAUAGACGCGCCAUACUGGCUUCAUAAUCUUUUUCCAGCAUUUAAGAAUGGCUCUUUUUUCUAUCUACAAAGGCAAAGCUGCACUCUUUUUGAGUCCUAUUCUCCCGACAUUCACUAUAUUGGAAGUAUGAACUCAUCAACUCUUUCAAUCAUGAUGUCUCAUUGUCAUAUAUUUUUAAACGGAGUCGACAAUAUAUCUCAUCGUUCAUCUGUGUGUAUAUUUCGUAGACUGGACGUGUUGUACUGGACGUGUUGUAGUUGAGCGAGGUGGUUCUGUGAUGUUACAGUUCAUGCCUGCAAUUGGUGAGCCCAAAUAUGACUGUUUGCAUUACAAAAUCUGAAUUUCAUUAUUGUUUACUUCCCAAAGUAAUUCUUGUGAAUUUAAGCUUAAAUGUGUCUCGUUCCAGUUGUUUGCUUUAUCGGCAACAGAGGUUGGGUCUCUCAUCAGCAUUUUUUUUAUUUUUCAUUUUUAUUUUUGUUUUAAUGCAGUCAAGGUCAGAUGUUUCUGCCAUUACUCAUUUUGAUGAUUUAUUUCAUGAUCCUUCAACAGAGGUUGAGUAUGAUCUUUCAAAAAAAAACAGAGGUUGAGGAUGAUUUGACUUCAACAUGGUUAACCGGGAAAACUUGAUAUACAAUGUUGUUACAACCUCAAAUAUGAUGCUGGACGUAUAAUACAAUCAAGGAUUUAAAAUGAGAAUAAUCCAAGUCCUCUGAAUAACUGCCUUCCAGUUGUUCACUUGAAGAUGAGCAACUGGCAGCUUGAGACAAAUUUCCAUUGAGUAUCAAAUUCAAGUCCGGCUUCGGCAAAGAAAACGUGAUUUUUUGAAGCUGAGCAUUUAAACUAUCUUGCAGUUGCUGAGGUGAAUAGUUCUGGCUUUUCAAGAGCUUUUACUAAUUACUACUGAGUUUGCUGCAAGACUAACCUGUAGGAAAGGAGAGGGCAUAAGAGAAAUGAAAUUUAUCCUUCUAUUUGCAUACUGUUGAUGUUAUGUUUUACAAGUGUCAUCACACAUAAUAACUUGUGUCAGACAGGAGGACGACCACCAUUUGAGAUAAUGCAUACAACAUAAGAGAGAGAUCAAUGCCAUGUAAGAACUAUUUUGUAGUUCACAAAAGAGAGUUGGGCAAAACACAAACUCGCAGACAGUACACAGCACACAGUAGAACAUUUUGCAAGGUCAUCUUGGUCAUCAAUACCCAAUCUUGUUGCUGGAAGUAUAAUAUAUGAGACAAGUAGCAAGAUGGAGUAAGCACGUCCACAGAACACAUAUGCAUGAUGAAUCCUACUUUAUCUAGGAUUCCUGCAUCCGCAUAACCUAUUCGUAGCAGCCGUAGGCAAGUAAGAUGACUGUCACUAAAAUUAAAACUUAGACUCGAUCUGGUAACACUUAUCUGUUGAUGACCGCAACCUAACAAAUCCAGACGAGUUUGACAUGAUAAGGGUAUAGCAAGAGGAUUUAAAUAUAAUGUAUUUGCUACAAUUCAGGUGUACUAUAGCGAAACUGAUUCUGUAUUCUAUCUCACAGUCUUUGACCUCUCCAGGACAAUGUCUAAUGGCGAAGCUGCUUAAUAGCUGGUAUCAUUUGCGCUCCUAGCAUACAUUUUUCCUGAACCCUGGUAUCACAAAGACUCCACUGAGUCCAUUCUUAGUUAAUAUUGAGUUCUAGCUACAAAAAGUCUUUAUCUGGAGCAUUAUGAUCCAUUAUCUUAUCAUGAUGAAUAUUUACUGAGUUCCAAUAAAAUGAUCCGCACAUCUCCUUAUUAACUGUUGUGUAUGUGGCAACAUAAUGAUCAGGACCACCAAUAUAGCGCAACAACUUAAAGUCCUAAUAUUGGAAACCUACGCUAAGUUCCUAGCUCCUGGGAGCCACAGCCGGUUACAAAGUAGCUAAACGGACAGCAGCAACAUCUUAUAACAACAAUAUCUAAAGCAUCAACGACCCUUGUCUUUCUGGAUCCUUGUCUUUGGUAAGUUCUAAAUCAUACUAGUAUCAACAUCUACACUCAUCAAAUAGCACAUCCUAAAUAGCGCUGAUGACAACUGAAGAAAGCGCAAAUUUCAUACAGCUGACCAAGCAGAAUAAACUAUUUGCAUGAAGAACUGUUGUUAUGUUUUGCAAGUUUCCAUUAUACAUAAUGCCUUAUGUCGCACAGGAGCACAGCUACUUGAGAUAAGGCAUACAACAUAAGAGAGAUGACUUUGCAUACUAGUCUAAUGAGAAUUAGUUUAAAUCCAUGUUAUCAUACAGUUUUGUAGUUCACAGAAGAGAGUUGGGCAAACUACAAAAACUCUCACACAGUGCACAGCUGACAAGGGAACAUUUCACUACAUUGUCUUGGUCGUCGAUACCCAAUUUUGUUGCUACGAGCAUAAUAUAUGUGACAAGAAGCAAGUAUAAUAUAGCACGUAGACAGCACACAUAUAUGUAUGAUGCAUCCUACUGUUUUCACACAUAUAUGUGGCUCGUGCGCAAAUUCUUUGUUUCACAGACGUCCUAUUCUGAUCCGGCCUAUACAUACAUAUAUACACACACACACACACACACACAGAGGAAUACACAUGAAUAUGUAAGGAAUACUCCGACAGCACUGUCAUUCAAAUUAAAUUUGGAUCCGAUCUGGUAAAAAGCUUAUCUGUUGAUGACCGCAACCUAAUAAAUCCAGGAGAGUUAGGCAUGAGAGGGUUAUAGACUUAUUACUUAUAGCAAGAGGAUUCCCACAAUCAUGUUUGUGCCACAAUUCUGGCGUAUCACAGAAACACCAGCAAGCAAGCUCAUGAUCCUGCAUUCUAUCACACAAAGCCACUGUCUUUGAUCCCUCCAGGACAAUAUCAUUUCCCUCCUUUUAGAGGUUGUUCCUGAAUCCUGGGAACAGCCAACUCCGCAGCAGAAAUCCCCAGAAAGGCUCCACUCUUAGUUACUACUGAGUUGUAGGCUUGUAGCUACAGGAAGUCUUUAUCUGAAUUGUUAUAAUUCAUUAUCCUAUCACGAUGUAUAUUCUAGAUCACCAAUAAAAGAAUUUGCACAUACCCUUAUCAACUGUUCUUCAUGUGGCCACAUAAUGAUCGGGGCCAUCAAAGCCAAGUCCUAUGUUGGAAAUCACAACAACAAUCCUGGCCUAAGUUCCUAGCUCCUAGGAGCCACAGCCAGUUUGCAAGUAGCUAAAAGGGACAGCAGCAACAUCUUAUGAAAACCAAAUCUAAACCCUUCUAAAGCAUCAAUGACCCUUGUCUUUUCGGUAAGUUUAAAUCAUACCACUAUCAACACCUACACUCAUCAAGUAGCACAUCUUAAUGAGUGUUCUAAUCCCGAUGACAACUGAAGGAAAUGCAGGUCAAACAAAUGAACAAUCAGAACAAAUCUAAACUAUAUACUGAUAAGAGCACUAAUAUUGAACAGCAUGAUUUAGUGAAAUGCAUGAUAAUGAGCUGAAAUUUCAACGUACCGACUCUGAAGCCAUCUUUACGGCAGCUUUCGCUAUAGGCAGUAUGCAAAACCUAAACCAAACCCAAACCCAAUACAACAACAAUUUUAGUCUUGAAAUUGACUACUUCAUCAAACAAACAUAAUAGAAUUUUAUUUAAGUAAAUAAACUCCGGGUAAUUAAAUUAAAGUGAGGAACUUACAUUCCACGGCCACCGGCCAGAGCUUCCUCCGAUGGGUCUUUCCAUUCAUCAAUUCUGCAAAUUUAACAUUUACCAAGUCAAUUACUUUAGGUAAAUACAAAAUUACAAAAUCAAAUAUACAUACAUAGAGAGAGACAUACACCCAACCGUAACGGCGGUCAAAUAAGAGGCGUUUGGAUUUUGAAGAGGUUGAAACGGAGGAGAUUGAGGACUCCAUUCUCUGUUACUCUGAAACUGAUUGGGGGAAUAAAAGGAAUAUGAAGUGGGCCGGGUCGGGCUAGUCACUAAUCGGGUCUAAGUUGAUGGCAAAUCCGUAAAUAAAAACAGAGCACCACCGCGCUCUACAUAUUUCAAAGGCCACCCAAAUCAAACUUCUUCCCGCUUAGCUUCUCUCUCUCUGAGCUUUUGAAGAUCGGCGAUCAUGAAACCGACGGAUCGGAUUCCGGCAAAGGCCUGUAAUUCCGGUAACUUUCGUUUCAAAUCGUACUGAUUUCGCUAAUUUCGUUUCCUAGCUUUUCUUUCUUGUUCGCUGCUUUAAUUUUUGCUCCGAUUUCCGUUCGCCGGAAAACUUGAAGAGAAACGAAAUUUCUAUAUAACUUGAACUGAAUUUCUCUGUGAUCUAAGAUUAAGCUUUUUACCGAUCGGAGACGAAGAAAAAGGAAUUGGAAUUUGGAUUGAUUUGGUUGAGUUUGAGUCCAAUUUCCAAGCGUGAUUAGCUUAGGGUUUCUGCUAUGAAUGCGAAUUUUGGCUUUGAAUUAAUGGAUUAAAUGUUGGUUUUGGUGAUUUCAGCUGGGGUUUGUCUGAUGAGAAACGCAUGGAGAGACGAACAGCAUCCAUCUUUCAUAAACUUCAUCUCCAAUUUCCUCGCUGCAAAUUCUUUCCGGCUUAACUUUGCCUCAAUUCCAGCAGUAAUUUAUACUAUUUUAUUAUGUAAUUUUGAAAGGAAAUUUGGUGAAUCGCUCGCUUAAGCGCGGUGAUGGUUUCGAUUGCAUUGCAGGACUUCAUUUUCAACUGUGGAGGUUCAUCAGUGGCAUUCAUCUUUGUCACAAGCUUGGAUUCAACUAAUGUCUCCGAAAUCUUCGCCAGGUGACCAAAUUGUUCUCGCUUUUGGUGCGAUUCUGCUUGUCCUAAUUUUACGAGUUUGAUGUGAAUCCUUGUAUUUAUUACAGAACUCAAUUACUGAAGCAGCAAUUUGCACAUCUCUAUGUUAUCUGUACCCUCCCAACCAAGGAGCAAAAUGACUUGUUUGUUCGUUCUUACUUCAAGUGAGUUUAUCGGAAACUUUUCGUUCAGGGAAAUGUGUCAAUACACUAGUUAGAUCUUAGCUUUAAUAUUCUGUUACAAUUUGAUUAUGAACUGACUGGAGGUGUUUAAACCUGUGAAGUUCCGGAUUGGAGCUUGGUAAGCCGGCAUUUGUUCCGGUUAAAGACUUAGAGAUGGGUUUUGAGAAGAUGCUAAGGAUAGCUUAUGCUCGAGGAGGUAAAUCUUGUUCUCUAAAACUCAGUCACUUACGGAUUUCGUAUGAAAAUUUUCUCAGUAGCCAACUGAUCACAGUAUGCAAGCGAGAGGAUGUCACCACAAAAUUGAAGGCACAGGUUGGUGUAAUGUCAAUACAAACAUUAACAGCGUUAUGCUAUGUUUCGUACUUGGUUCUGAACUUCUGAUGACCUACAAUGCACAUUUCUUUUGCUAAACAUCUUGGGGCUUCUGGUUUGAAUAGAGAGAGCAAUAUGUGCAAACAGCAGGUGUAUUUCAAAGAGUGGUCACAUCUAUACCAGGAAUUGAUAAUCAUGAUGCAAAUGCGGUACAUUACUCUUCAUAGUCCAGGCUUAUAUGACUUAUUUCUAUAUCUUGCAUGUGUUCUUCACUGCGUAACUAAAACUAAGAUUUUUUCUGGCAAUGUUGAUCAGCUUAACCAAGCAGUAGGAUCAAUUGAAGCAAUUGCUAAGGAAUCGAAGGAGCAUAUUCUGGAAAACACAGACCUUUCAGCUGACAAGGCAGAAGUGCUUUCAAGGUUUUUCAGGGAUCCAAAGUUUUACCUCAGUCCCAAGAUCAAUUGACCGCCCUUUUAAACUAAUGAGCUUCAGAUAUGAUCUGGAGAUGCGGACAUAUAUUGAACAUUGCUUCUAUUUUGUGGACUACCACUCCACUUGCAGUGUCUAUAAUGUGGUUUCUGGAAUUGGUAUUGCAUGCAAACUGAGGUUUGAAAACUAAAGCGCUGUAAUCUCCCAUGGUUUUCAAUUCUGCAUGUGGCAAUUAGGUUCCUGAUGGGUACUAAUUAAGUACUAACUAUCAUCAUAAAUUGGCUCUUCUUAUUAGAUUUACAAAUAACUGAAUAACCACUAUGUCGAUCAUUUUAAGAGGAUACGUACCCUCGAGUCCAUAGCCAUGAAUUAAAGCUGGUGAAAACCUUCUCGCUCCCAUGUUUGUAUGACCACUCGUGGCCAUGGCAAUCGAGUACAAUAGCCUUUCCUUGAUUACCUAGGAGAUCCUCUUAAUCCCACAAACCUUGGGUUUAUUGUUUAAAGUUGGAUUCCCUUUGGGGGCUAUUUACCAAAAGGAUAUACAGUAUGUGUCCUUGGAAAUAAACCGCACCAACUUAACAUAUAUAUUUCCAAAACAUUUUCAGUACACGGCGUGUAUUUUCACAUACAUACAUGGAUGAUUAAAAUUAGAGAAAAUAAUAUAGAAACAUGGUGGUCAAACAUAUAAAUUGUUAUGAACGGUUAAGAUUGUGUCAUGUAAAUACACGUUGUGUAUACAAGAAUUUCUAAUACAUAUAUAUAAAUAUAAAUAUAUAUAUAUAAAUAUCAGGGCCCUUCUAUUGAGGGAUCUCUAUUUUUGGCCACUUUUAGGGAUAGGCUCACACAAUUGGAUCUGUUAUUUAAUGAGGUUGGAUGGCUGAGAUUAAAACAAAAAAUUACACACUUUAUAUCAAACCUGGACCGUUCAAGAUCAAUAAAAAUAAAUCGAAGUUUUGAAUGGGUUAACGAUCACUAAAUUAUCUGAAAAUUUGUAGAAAUGAUCUACUCAUAUAACCCAAUGAAUUGAACGGUGUAGAUGCAAAAAUUUGAUCGGGAAGUUGGUGUAAUACCAUAUCCUUAGAAAUGGCUAAAACUAGGGAUCCCUUAAUGGAAAGGCCCUCAUAUAUAUAUAUAUAUAUAUAUAUAUAUUCCCUUAACUUACAUGACGAGAAACAUUGUGACAUUGCGAUCUUGGAAAUAAACCUAUCAACACUGUUCUUUCUUUCACGCUCUCAUAGGAAUGGCUGGACCCGACGGACAUGUAAGAAAGCUAGCCCUCUUCUUUGAGAAACUCGGCGCCUCUUCUCCUCCGGGUAUGAACUUUUCAUUGAUUCGAAAGAAUACAUCUUCUAUCCUUGGCUGACAAUUUCGUGGAAUUAUUUAAAAUUAAGAUUAAAAUUUGUGAACUUAUCUGUUGCUGUCGAAAUCAGAUCUGAAAGUUCUUAUUGCUCUCUCUAAUCCGGAAUUUCUUGUCAGAUACGAGAAAAAGUUCAGAAAUCAGGUCCAACCCCGAAGGACCGGUGGCUGGUGGAGGUGCUUCUGUGGACAAACGACAAUUUGUGCCUUGCGAUGUGUGUUCUAAGUUGAACCCCCCUAAUCUUAGUUGCUCUUACUCUGUGGGGCCUUGUGAUAUUUGUGACAAGGUUCAACGCAUUAAUUGUUGCCCUUAUCUCAACCACCUCCCACAGGGGGCAACUUUUAACUCUGGAUAUGGAAUAGUUUGUGUAUGUGGUUAUGUAUUUGAUGAGGUUAAGUGGGUUGUCCCUUAUGUGGUGGGAGCGGAGCAGUGCUUAAGGCCAAGAAUUGUUCCAUUUGUAACGUCUGGAAGCAGCACUGUGCAUAUGAAUGCCCAAAAAGACAAGGAUCUUGCUGCCGAGUAUAAAUCGAUCAGAGAAAAGAUGCUUUCAGAAGUGUCGACUCCCAUUGCAUGGUCAGGUACCUAUGUUCCAACUGAUCCUUGUGGAGACAUGAAAGAAAAAGGUUGGAAGGUUAUCUCGCAGACCAUGUAAUGUGAUAUUGCACCUGAGAGGAUUUAAUUAAUGUAACUUUAUGAGUUUAAUGUGAUUUAUUGAGCAGAUAAUCAAAC